GACGUAGGGCGCGAGCGUUGUCCGGAUUUAUUGGGCGUAAAGAGCUCGUAGGCGGCUUGUCGCGUCGAAUGUGAAAUCCCUGCGGCUCAACUGCAGGCUUGCAUUCGAUACGGGCAGGCUCGAGUUCGGUAGGGGAGACUGGAAUUCCUGGUGUAGCGGUGAAAUGCGCAGAUAUCAGGAGGAACACCGGUGGCGAAGGCGGCGACCUGGACGGACAUUGACGCUGAGACGCGAAAGCGUGGGGAGCAAACAGG
rnacentral:rRNA from 1 species